rnacentral:rRNA from 1 species
UACAGAGGGGGCAAGCGUUGUUCGGAAUUACUGGGCGUAAAGGGCGCGUAGGCGGCCUUCUAAGUCGAACGUGAAAUCCCUGGGCUCAACCCAGGAACUGCGUCCGAUACUGGAAGGCUUGAAUCCGGGAGAGGGAUGCGGAAUUCCAGGUGUAGCGGUGAAAUGCGUAGAUAUCUGGAGGAACACCAAUGGCGAAGGCAGCUCGCUGGGAAGUGACUGACGCUGAGAAGCGAAAGCGUGGGGAGCAAACAGG